GCGCCCGUAGCUCAGGGGAUAGAGCAGGUGCCUUCUAAGCACAAGGCCGCAGGUUCGAAUCCUGCCGGGCGCACCA
rnacentral:tRNA from 1 species